CAGAUGUGAAACUCAGCAGGAUGUGAAACUAGUCAAGAAUUUGGAAGCAUUAUCUUAUUCUUGGGAAUUCUUAGAGAGGUUAACGGAAUGAAGACCCAGGCUCUAUUCCUGGUCGACAAAGUACGUUACAAACGGAUAUCAAAUGCUUGUAAGUGUUGUAACUGUUCAUUAAGGAAUAUUUAGGAAUACUUUUCAUCUGAGAUAUCAAAGAGAAAAAUGUUUGAUGUUGUGCAGAGAUCUUCCUGAACUUUGGACAGCAGAAUUCAGGCAUCAUCAGACUGCAUUUGAAUUACCUCUGAAAUAACAGUAGAGGUUAAAUUGCCAUUUUCAGCUGACUCAUCACGUUCAAAGCUGUGAUUCUGCUGAUGAAACCUUUGUAUUUAAGUGAAUGUAUCAUUAGAAGCAGAAACUACUGUAGCCUCAAACUUCCUCAUUUGAAGCAGAACCUGAAGCAGAAAGAUAUGCAUUGACUGAACUGUUCUUGAAACAUUACCACUGCACCGCCCCCUUUAGAUAUUGAAAAGCCGCUCUCAGGCCUCCCUGCAGCCUUCUCUUCUCCAGGCUUAACAGCCUCAGCUCUCUCAGCCCAUCCUUGUUGGUGUUCCAUCCCUUGGAUCAUUUUUGUGGCCCUCCUCUGGACAUGUGUCAGAGAUGGCUUAUGGUGACCUCAUAGCUCUCUACUGAUAGUGAGAGACACAACUCUACAACAAGGGAAACAUGACUGGAUUAAGGAAAACAUUGCAGAGGGAGCGAGGUCAGAGGCCCACAGAGGUUCUGGAGCGUCCAUCCUCAGAGGAGUUCACAUUUCAUUUGGACACAUCCCUAUAACAUCCAGCAUAACUUUUUUACUGGCCCUGCUUUGAGCAGGGUUGCGCCAAAUGGACUCUUGAAGUCCCUUCCAGACUCUUAUGUCCACCAUCUUUUUUUCUUGGACAUCUUUGUGCUAGACAAUUUUUGGAAACAUUGUGAUUGAUGGCUUCGAUGAAUGGAUCCGUCUGGUCUGACAAAAGCUGAAAUGCCCUGAUCAAAUCCCAGAUCACCAGUUUCAGUGUAACAUAUACUUACAACAUCUUUUACUCACUACCAACCUGACACUUAGAGCUACAGCAGAAUGUAGAGCAGCCUGAAGGACCAAAAUGCAAUCUGGAUCUGCCUGAGAAGGUAUUCAGCUUUCUUCCAUUUCCAGUGGAGAAGCAUAAGCCUGCCUGAGCUGAAGGCUGGAGGAAUUUUAUCAUUGGGUUGGAACAGCUCAAGCAGAGAGAAAGAGUAUCCUCCUGGAGCUAAGAAACCUCUCCCAGUGAAAUUUAACCAGGGCUUGAUGUAUUCCUGUGCCAAAUGUUGCUUUUGAAGAAUCAGCAUUUCCUUCUCAUCCUCUGAUGUGACUUGACCAAAGAGAGGAAGGGGACUGAGAAAGCAACAUGGUAGGGCAGAGCUGCCCAACUGUGUGAAACAACCACAAGCACUCUUGGAGCUGAUGCAUUACAGACACCUUCACAGAGCUCUUCUAUUGGAGGAGACAGUGAAGCUUCAGUCUAUGUCUGCCCUUUUGGAAACUCUCUGGAUAUUUGGAAACUUCAGUUCUAUUGCACAGUGGGACACCUCCUUGCUGGCAGAAGAGUCUAAGCUGUCCUUUUGGAGGAAAGUGCUUCUGUACCUUGAAAUAUCCUUACUGCCUUUCUCUGAGCCCUUAGUGGUGCUAUCACAUUUUUUUGUAUGUUUGUUUAUUUUCAGGCAAGGGAACCACACAUAUCCAGGUGUGGGUGUGGUCCAGAAUGACAUUUUCUGUUUUGUUCUCUGUUCCUUUUCUUACGGUUCUGUCACUGCUUUCCUCUUGCUGUUUGAGCUGCUUUCAGUGCUGAGCUUGUGCUUUUGUGAACUGUUGAUCACAGCCCCAGUUCUUACUGACCUUUACUGGCUUACUACAGGUUUUGUUUUGUCUGAAAUAACCUCUCAUUCCCUAUAUGUGAAAGCUCUG
ensembl:lncRNA